rnacentral:rRNA from 1 species
GAUGAACGCUGGCGGCGUGCCUAAUACAUGCAAGUCGAGCGAACAGACGAGGAGCUUGCUCCUCUGACGUUAGCGGCGGACGGGUGAGUAACACGUGGAUAACCUACCUAUAAGACUGGGAUAACUUCGGGAAACCGGAGCUAAUACCGGAUAUAUAUUGAACCGCAUGGUUCAAUAGUGAAAGACGGUUUUGCUGUCACUUAUAGAUGGAUCCGCGCCGCAUUAGCUAGUUGGUAAGGUAACGGCUUACCAAGGCAACGAUGCGUAGCCGACCUGAGAGGGUGAUCGGCCACACUGGAACUGAGACACGGUCCAGACUCCUACGGGAGGCAGCAGUAGGGAAUCUUCCGCAAUGGGCGAAAGCCUGACGGAGCAACGCCGCGUGAGUGAUGAAGGUCUUCGGAUCGUAAAACUCUGUUAUUAGGGAAGAACAAAUGUGUAAGUAACUAUGCACGUCUUGACGGUACCUAAUCAGAAAGCCACGGCUAACUACGUG